GAUGAACGCUGGCGGCGUGCCUAAUACAUGCAAGUCGAGCGAAUGGAUUAAGAGCUUGCUCUUAUGAAGUUAGCGGCGGACGGGUGAGUAACACGUGGGUAACCUGCCCAUAAGACUGGGAUAACUCCGGGAAACCGGGGCUAAUACCGGAUAACAUUUUGAACCGCAUGGUUCGAAAUUGAAAGGCGGCUUCGGCUGUCACUUAUGGAUGGACCCGCGUCGCAUUAGCUAGUUGGUGAGGUAACGGCUCACCAAGGCAACGAUGCGUAGCCGACCUGAGAGGGUGAUCGGCCACACUGGGACUGAGACACGGCCCAGACUCCUACGGGAGGCAGCAGUAGGGAAUCUUCCGCAAUGGACGAAAGUCUGACGGAGCAACGCCGCGUGAGUGGUGAAGGCUUUCGGGUCGUAAAACUCUGUUGUUAGGGAAGAACAAAUGCUAGUUGAAUAAGCUGGCACCUUGACGGUACCUAACCAGAAAGCCACGGCUAACUACGUGCCAGCAGCCGCCGUAA
rnacentral:rRNA from 1 species